GAUGAACGCUGACGGCGUGCCUAAUACAUGCAAGUCGAGCGAACAGAUGAGGAGCUUGCUCCUCUGACGUUAGCGGCGGACGGGUGAGUAACACGUGGAUAACCUACCUAUAAGACUGGGAUAACUUCGGGAAACCGGAGCUAAUACCGGAUAAUAUAUUGAACCGCAUGGUUCAAUAGUGAAAGACGGUUUUGCUGUCACUUAUAGAUGGAUCCGCGCCGCAUUAGCUAGUUGGUAAGGUAACGGCUUACCAAGGCAACGAUGCGUAGCCGACCUGAGAGGGUGAUCGGCCACACUGGAACUGAGACACGGUCCAGACUCCUACGGGAGGCAGCAGUAGGGAAUCUUCCGCAAUGGGCGAAAGCCUGACGGAGCAACGCCGCGUGAGUGAUGAAGGUCUUCGGAUCGUAAAACUCUGUUAUUAGGGAAGAACAAAUGUGUAAGUAACUAUACACGUCUUGACGGUACCUAAUCAGAAAGCCACGGCUAACUACGUG
rnacentral:rRNA from 1 species